UGGAAGUAAAAGUCGUAACAAGGUCUCCGUUGGUGAACCAGCGGAGGGAUCAUUGCUGGAACGCGCCCCAGGCGCACCCAGAAACCCUUUGUGAACUUAUACCUUACUGUUGCCUCGGCGCAUGCUGGUCUCUAGCAGGCCCCUCACCCCGGUGAGGAGACGGCACGCCGGCGGCCAAGUUAACUCUUGUUUUUACACUGAAACUCUGAGAAAAAAAACACAAAUGAAUCAAAACUUUCAACAACGGAUCUCUUGGUUCUGGCAUCGAUGAAGAACGCAGCGAAAUGCGAUAAGUAAUGUGAAUUGCAGAAUUCAGUGAAUCAUCGAAUCUUUGAACGCACAUUGCGCCCUCUGGUAUUCCGGAGGGCAUGCCUGUUCGAGCGUCAUUUCAACCCUCAAGCACUGCUUGGUGUUGGGGCACUGCUUUUAACGAAGCAGGCCCUGAAAUCUAGUGGCGAGCUCGCCAGGACCCCGAGCGCAGUAGUUAAACCCUCGCUCUGGAAGGCCCUGGCGGUGCCCUGCCGUUAAACCCCCAACUUCUGAAAAUUGACCUCGGAUCAGGUAGAAACCCCCC
rnacentral:rRNA from 1 species